GAGCUGUUUCCAGGAAAGAAGAGGAGAAGGAGGAAGAUGUUUGGUUUGCUGAGCAGCCCAUUCUUCCCCAUGGUGCAGAGCAGGUUGUGGUACUAUCAUGUUGAAAUGGAGCAAGACACCAGGAAUCCUUGUCUACAAUCUUAAGCAAUUUUGGAACCAUUGUCACCAAAGGACCUUGUUUAUUCCCAGAAAAUGAUGUUUGGCUGAACAGAAUAACAUUUGGCCAGACCUUAGGGGGACUUUUAUGAGUUCCACGUGAGAUGCUGAAGCCUUGAUUGAUUGGCCUCAAAUCCCUCAGAAAGAUGAACAUCCUGUACCCACAUCCACUCAGCCUGCUUUCCUUUUCAGCCUUGCUGCUGUAACUACUGAUUUCUCUUGCUGUAGUCCAGUCUGAUGCUCAUUCAAAUCCAGAUGGUUGCUCCGGUUUGGGGUGUGUCAGGAAAGCAAAAUUCACAGCCUUUCUGGCUUUCCUUCUGCUGCCAGUGAAGUUUCAAUUUUGGAACUUAGCAGGGAAAUCUGCACUCUACCCAAAACAGUUUCAUGCCCCACAAAUUCCUCAUCUGUGUAACUUAAUCAAAUGGCUUUUUGUAACAGCAAUAUCAUGCAUAUCCUGCAUGGCCAGCCCUGUGCAAUUCUGAAAUUCACACAUGGCUAAUGGAUGCUGUGAGUACUUGGGUACCCUGCUGCCUGUGGAGACUCAGACAUUUUGUUUGUUCAUGAGCCAGGCCUCAGCAACUCAGAAACACCGACUCAAAUUAUUUAGUACCUUUUGCAAAAAAAAAAAAAUUAUGUGGGAAGAGAGAUAUUCUGUGUUGACAUGAUUUUCACUGGUAAAAAUGAAAAACUCAAGUCCACACACAAUUUUAGUAAGUUACCUGGUGAAAUGGAUGCCUUCAAAAAACAUACUAUUCCUCAGCAUUUGAACAGUUUGCAUCUUUGCUUCAGUUCUCGUUCAUGCUCUUGCAUGGCUGGUCCUUCCCCCUCAGCCCCAUGACAGCUUAGUCCUUUUCUCCCCAGUCCUGUAUGAUGGAUGGCCCCAGUACACUGCAGAUAAGCCAGCAUGGGGCUGGACCCCUCUGCCUGUGAGCAAAGCAGCUGCAGCCAUGGGAGGGGUAGGCAAGGCUGCUGGCCAGGUUGUUGCUCCUGUGUAAGAGGAGCUGCAUCCAUACUUCUCUCUUGAGCCCUCCUGAUGCUGCUCUGCUCCCUCAUCUCUAGCCAUGCCUCCCUGUCCCUUUGUCCCCUCUGAGACGGCUCUGGUAUUGCCUGGAUCAUGCUCCUCCUACCCACCCACCC